ensembl:lncRNA
AUGUAUGUUCUGGAGAAAAACGAGUCCACGUGUUUCUCCAACCGGUCUUUGGCUGCUCAACGGCAGCCGUCAGGUUCCUGCCCCAGUAACAGACAGAGGGAAGUCUUUACCAUUAAAAACAUCUCAGACCUGAUUCAUCCAUUUUUGAUCCCCAAUCUGAGAUUUUCAGGAUUUUUUUUUUUUUGGAACAUGAAGUCGUCGGCGUCCUCCACACCAAAGAGUCUUCUGGAAUUUUGACCUAAUGUGCAGAAUUUUGAAUUGUGAUUGGACUAAAGGGCAAAAGGUCGUUUUACUCGUUUGUGAUUACGUUCACAGCUUCUCCUGUCUUGUUGCGAGUUGAUUUGACUUCUGCUGUUGGAUCAUGGAUGUGAGACUUUGGUCGGGCGGAUCUCCAGUCCAGAUCGGAUUUUCCCAACUCAAUGUGCCACUUUCCUUUUUAAUGCCAGAUCUGCAUUUAAUGAUGUCAGCCAGAGACUUAACUUUACUGUCUUUGUACUUUGGAUAUUUCCUUUCUUCGUCUGCAGAAAAGGAGGAUGGCCUUGUCUCUGUGUCACCUUUUCAGAGGACUGUGAUACGCUAAUAUCUGCGUAUCUCCAGUUUGCUCGACGGAUCUCACAAACUUGUUUCUUCUUAUCUCCUAAUUAAUAAUGAUGUCAUCCCAAGAGCCUUUUCUCUAUGUGCAAUAUUUUCUAUUCACGCUGUGUAAGUCUCCUCAGUCUUGAAAAGGUUCGGUUGCUUCCAUCAAAGCUUUGUUGUCCUUUCGGUUUAGGAUUGUAUCGUCUUUCAUUGUCAAAGAAAGCGUCUGUGACUCUUUGAAAUGAAACGGACGGCGGAGUUGUGCUUCAAACCCGCAGGAUGACUGUUUGUGUGCAUUUUGGGUUGUUUAUGAUUAUUAAAGCACAUCAAGAGUGUUAGAUGUUUUCAGUGGAUCAUUUCGCUGUACGAACAUGUUUUGAUGAGACAAUGAAAAUGAGUUUAAGCUCCAAACAUCGGGUGAAAAGUGGAGGACGGCAUUUCCACGACACAGCAGUCCUUACCAAAGUCUCAACUAGAAAUCAACUGAUUUUUCAGGGUGGAUAGCGAUUAACAGUCAAGUAGCCAGAUAACCGAUAUUUGGAGCCGAUAUUCAUUUGCAGAAGAAUUGAGAAUAUUGGUAUCAAAAUUUGGAAUAAUACAAACGGCAACGAUGAACUUUGUUUAUUUGAAAAAAAUGUAAUCAAAUAAAUUGCUCCUAAAAGUGCAAAGAGUGAAAUGCUCAGCAGCAUCUUUUAAUGUUUUUUUAAAAGUUAAAUAAACACUUUCCUGAAAGUUUUCAUAGUCAAUAAAGCUUGACAUAAAUUAAAUUACUUUUUUUUGGGAAACGUUCAAACAAAUCCAAAAUGUACAGGGAGUUCCUUGCUGAAGACAGAACUGUGCAGCUGCUCCAGAACCAAAAUAAUCGGUUCAGGAUCCGCCUGUCGGAUUUUAAAGAAAAGUCAGAGACUGAAUCAAAAUAAGAAAUAUCGGCCCGAUAAUCAUCCAAACCCAGUUCCAACUCGUCCCAACAGGACCUGGCUGCAGACAGCAAGAUAGACAUCAUUAGGCAGAAGUCCGGAACCAAAGGUUCAAGUCUCCCAUGUCCCUUUCUUUGAACCAAAGGUUCAUGUCCCUCCCUUCCGAUUUUGGUAGAAAAAAAUACUUUUUUGUUGUUUUUUUUCUGGAAAAAAAACCUGACCUGAAUGGGGGCGCAGUGGC